rnacentral:rRNA from 1 species
UACGGAGGGUGCGAGCGUUGUUCGGAAUCACUGGGAGUAAAGGGCGUGUAGGCGGUCCGCUAAGUCUGAUGUGAAAGCCCGGGGCUCACCCCCGGAAGGGCAUUGGAAACUGGCGGACUCGAGUCUCGGAGAGGAAGGUGGAAUUCCUGGUGUAGCGGUGAAAUGCGUAGAUAUCAGGAGGAAUACCGGUGGCGAAGGCGGCCUUCUGGACGAUGACUGACGCUGAGACGCGAAAGCGUGGGGAGCAAACAGG